GUCCCCAUCGUCUAGCCUGGCCUAGGACAUCAGGUUUUCAUCCUGACGACUCCGGUUCGAAUCCGGAUGGGGACGCCA
rnacentral:tRNA from 1 species